rnacentral:rRNA from 1 species
AGUGAACGCUGGCGGUAGGCCUAACACAUGCAAGUCGAACGGCAGCACAGUAAGAGCUUGCUCUUACGGGUGGCGAGUGGCGGACGGGUGAGGAAUACAUCGGAAUCUACUUUUUCGUGGGGGAUAACGUAGGGAAACUUACGCUAAUACCGCAUACGACCUACGGGUGAAAGCAGGGGAUCUUCGGACCUUGCGCGAUUGAAUGAGCCGAUGUCGGAUUAGCUAGUUGGCGGGGUAAAGGCCCACCAAGGCGACGAUCCGUAGCUGGUCUGAGAGGAUGAUCGGCCACACUGGAACUGAGACACGGUCCAGCCUCCUGCGGGAGGCAGCAGUGGGGAAUGUGGAGCAUUGGGCGAAAGCCUGACCCAGCAACGCCGCGUGGGUGAAGAAGGCCUUCGGGUCGUAAACCUUUUUUGUGGGGAAAAAAAAGAAGUGGAUGAAACCCCGGCUGUCCUGAGGGUACCAAAAAAAAAAGCACCGGCUAACUACGUG